UGGUACAGAGUUUUAGCUUGGUUUUAGCCAAAUUGCUGUUCGAUUGCUCAACUUUUACUUCAGUUGUUUGUGAAACGUCGGUUGUGUCGGUAUUGUUUUAUCAUUUGCUUGAAGUGACUCUAUAAGGAAAAAUACACAAGGAAUUCAUUGGAAUUUUUGUGUUGAAGCUAAACAAGCGCUGAGGGUGUAUGUGCCAUUAUUUCGAGCGUCCCUUGGAUUGGACUUGUGCGAAGAAUAAGCUGAAUUUAUGUAGCUAUAGUAGUAACUUAUAUUCAAUUAAACUUUUUUGUCCCAACAUCACCGUGAAAAGAGCAAUAACAACAAUAACAACAAUAACCAAUAUAACGUAACAACAAAAUAUAUUCAAAAACAAAAAAAAUAGAAAAGAAAUACAGUAGAUACAUACAUAUGUAUGAAUGUUUGUAUAAUAAAUACUAAAUAACCAAACCCUUACAAGUUUAUAAGAACUUAAACUAUAUUAUCGUACUGCAUAACGUGUUUGUGUCGACGGUCUUGUUAAUAAUUCGCUUAUACGCAAUGAGUUUUCGUAGUGGUAGAAGUGGAGGUGGAAGUGGAGGCGGUGACAGCGGUUGUGUUCACUCCGUAUUGUAUUUGCAGACAUUAUUUGCAUUUUCCUUAAUAUUACUACCGCAAUUGGCAGCGUCAACUGUUUUAGAUAAAUUGCGUGAUGAUCCAGAUUUAUCACAGACUGCAUCAUUACGGAAACUAAUGCCUGUUAGGUUUUACAGCUUGUUGGAACAAAAUCCUAUUGCGAAUUCAACAUUAUCAUUAAGAGCCUGUACAUUGUUCGUUCCCACAAAUGAAGCAUUUCAACGGCACCAUGAUACAACCUACGUCCUCUAUCACAUGGCUACUGUCGCGAUGACUCAGGACCAACUUACUAAGACCAUACCAUCAGAUAUGGAUGGAAAUCCCCCAUUGUAUAUAACGAAAAAUCGUAACGGUGAUAUUUAUGUUAACAAUGCUAGAAUCAUUCCAUCGCUGUCUGUGGAAAUGACCAAUAAUGACGGCAAAAGACAGGUAAUGCACAUCAUAGAUGAGGUUUUAGUACCUCUUACAUCGCUACCAACUUCCAAAACGGAAAUUACAAAUCCAGACGCAUUUCAAUUUUUGCAACAAGCUGAUUUACUUAACAUAGGAGAAAAUCGUUUAAGAUCGUACCGUUCUCAAGUCACUGUGAUGCGAAAAGAGAAUCUAUAUCAGUCUCCCGGUGGCCAUACCUUCCUUAUUCCGGUGGACGAAGGUUUUAAGCAAACUACCCGUAGCAGUUUGGUAGAUAAUAAAGUCAUUGAUGGCCAUGUUAUUUUAAACAAUGUGAUAUUUACGUCGGCUGCUCAAAUUGAAGUGCCUCAAACCACUGCCGCCUUUGAGGAUAAUAUUAAAGUAACAGUUAGCUUUUCCAAACAAAAAGAAGGAAAAAUGUAUGUUAAAUCGAAUACUUUGCUGGGAGAUUCAAAGCAUGCUACUGGUGUGGUAUUAGCUGAAAUUGUUAAGGCAAAUAUACCAGUACGUAACGGUGUUGUGCACUUAAUACACCGGCCACUGAUGAUAAUUGAUACGACCGUAACACAAUUCCUACAGAAAAAUUUUGGGUGUAAUUCAUUUAAGGCAAUAGAAAAUGAGAAUGGAGCUUUGCGAAAGUUCCUUGAAGUAAUUAUGGACAUUGGUGGCCAAGUCUUAGAUGAUAUUAACAAUUUCGGAGAUGUUACAAUUUUAGCACCCAGUAAUGAGGCCUGGAAUAAUUCAGCUAUUAACAAUAUUAUUAGAGAUGUUCCAAAGAUGCGGGAGAUAUUAAAUAUGCACAUUAUUAAGGAUCGCCUAAAUGUAGAUAAAAUCAAGGAAAAAAAUCAAAAUUUAAUUGCACAGGUUCCCACAGUAAAUAACCGUACAUUCCUCUACUUCAACAUUAAUGGCGAAGGAUCGGAUGAAGUGAUUACUGUUGAAGGCGGUGGAGUGAACGCAACUAUCUUGGAAGCAAAUGUCGCCAGCACUAACGGUUAUGUUCACAUUAUCGACAAAGUUCUUGGAGUUCCUUAUACUACAGUGCUGGGCAAAUUGGAAAGUGAUCCUAUGCUAAGUGAUUCAUAUAAAUUGGGACAAUUUUCAACAUUCAACGAACAACUGAAUAAUACACAAAGACGUUAUACGUACUUUGUUACACGUGACAAGGGCUGGCAGAAAAUAGGAUUAGAUUUCCCUUCAGUGCAUAAGAAAUUAUUUAUGAAAGACUUUGCCUAUCACUCUCGCUCAAUUUUGGAACGUCAUUUGGUAAUUGCUGACCGCGCUUAUUCCAUGAAAGAUAUGGUCGCUAUGACAAAAGAAAGUGAAUCAAUUGUUUUGCCAACUUUCCGAGAUUCUUUAAAAAUUAAAGUAGAAGAAGAAGCUGGACAUCUUCAUGAUGAAUUCGCUUCUCAUGAUUGGACUGGUUAUGUCAUCAUUUGGAAUUAUAAAAAAAUUAAUGUCUAUCGCCCGGAUGUCGAAUGUACCAAUGGUAUUAUACACGUGAUUGAUUAUCCAAUGCUGGAGGAGAAGGAUAUCGUAGUGAGGGGAGGUAGUUAUCAGAUUAAAUCUAACUUCUGCAUAUUGUUUGCAAAUCUCUUCAUAAUAGCAAUAGCAAAACUUUUCUAAACCAAAAACUAAUUUAAAAAAUUAAACGAACCAAUUGUGUAAAAAGCGAAAAACAAACUUAAUUAAAUAUAAACAAAAUAAUAAGUUCAUAAUAAAAAUUUGAAUUUCAUACAUAAUACUCAAACAUCAAAAUACACAUACAUAAUUUAACACUAAACAAAUACACUCAUACUUUUACACACGUACGAAAACACUACAUAGAAAUAUUUUAAUUAUUUUUUCAAUAAAGUUCAAUUAUUUUUUAAUCAUGUUCUGUAUGAAUUUCAAAUAUAAUAAAUUAAGCCACUUUAGCCUUCAUCACGCAUUAUGCAUAAAUACAACCUAUAUAUACUUAUAGUAUAUCAAAUGAAACCUUUCAUUUUUAUUAUAAUUUGAAUAUUUUUUUUAUAUUUAUUUGAAAAUGUUGUGCGUUUAUAGAUACAAGUUAUUUAUCCAGAAUUAAUCAUUAAUCAAAAUACCUACGAAAUUUACAUCUUAUAGUUUUAUUUUUUCAUUUUCAUGCAUUAUUUUUGAAGAUUAAUAAUAUUAAUUUUCAUGAAUAUACACACAUAUACAUAUAUGUAUUUGUAUUCAAUAUUUGUUGUUUUUUUAGUCAAGCACCAGCAGAAACGUUAAAAAAAUUUCCUUUUUUCAUUAAUUUUUAAUUUUAUUUAUAACUUUUACGAGAAAUAUCACCGCGUUAAGCAAUAAGUGAGACAGACAUUUUUCAUCACUCAAUAAAUUCAUUCAAGUUUUAUCUCAAAGCCAUGAACGAAUUUAUAUAAACUUCUUUUUAAUAUUUGUGUUCAACGAAUCAUUAUAUUAAUACAAUUAAAAAUAUUUUUUAAAAAAAUUUUCAAAAUUAAAAUACACGCAACUAAAAUUAAAUGGAAAGUACAACAAUUAUGUACAUGAUAAAAAUAAUAAUUACUUAAAAACUGCCGUUAAAUUAAAAACACUUCAAAUAAAUAAAAAAUCUUUUUUUAAAGAAAAACUCAUUUGUAAAAUAAUGAAUAUGUACUACAAUAAUUGAUCAUAAAAAGAAUCACAAUCGAAAGCAAUCAUAAAAUAUCAUUGUCAUAAUUAAUUUAUGAGUUUUAGCAAGAAGUAUUUAAGUUCAUGUAUGUAUAAUUUUUCGAAGUAUUUCGAUUUACAUAAUUAGAUGUAUUAGAAAUGCAAUUAUUUCACUAUUAUUUGAUAUAGUCUUCAUUCCAUUCCAAUGAAUGCAUUGCAGUUCAUACUUCAUAUUAUGCAACAAAAACAUGCAUAAUACCCUAUACACAAUACAUAUAUACAUAUUAGAUUAAAUAUUAAAUUUUAUUUUGAAUUUGAUACAACCCUCGACCAUUCGUUCAAUUUUAUAGCCGCAAAAACUUUCCUCUUCUAUCCUUUCACAUUGGCACUCAAAUCCCAUAUACUUCUGCUUUUCUUCUUUUAAUAUUAAUUCUAAUACUAAACUAAUAAUGAUGAGAUCAUGAAGAUGACGAUGAAUAAUAAUAAUAACAAUAAUUAAUAAUGAUGAUAAAUCAACUAAAUCGUAUAUAUAUUUAAUUUUAUAGGUUAGACAAUUAAAUAACAAUUUAAACCAAACAAAUUCCCUUCAAAAUACCAAAAAAAAAAAGUUAAAAAAAUCAAAACCUACGAAAGAAACAAUACAAAAAUAUAAAGAAAGCAAACAGCACUUCUUGUCAUGUCUGAUAUUCUCAAAGAAAGGUUUGAACGAAUGAGAUAUGCUCUCUCUUCUCUAUGUCUCUCUAAAAGAAUUACAGAUUACAUUUUUAUUUUCCUUCAUUUAAUUAUAAAAUACAUACAAUUAUCUUUUAGUUUAAUUAACAUUUAAAAAGAUGCUUAGUAUUUAAUGUAAGUACUAGUUAUAAUUCAAUUUAAUAUUUAAUAAUUUAAUUAAUAAUAUCUAAUGGAUUAAGCAAACUUCAACCUUUACAUUAAGAAACAAUAAACACAAUACAUACACCUAAAAUUAUGCUACCAAAACAAAAAAAAAAAAAAAAACAAACAAAAAUGUAAGUGUGUGUGUGUAUAGUUUUGACUCUGUUAUUUAAAUUAAAUUAAUGAUAUUUUAAUUGUAUGCUAAAUCAAAAUCAUUUAAAAUAACAUAUAAUAUAUGUAUGUAUGUAUAAAAAGUAGAUUCUCAAAAUACACAAAACACACCACACCCACCAAUAUAAAAAAAGUUUUAAAUCAUUUUAAUUUAAAUCAUGAUAAUUUAAAAUAUGUUUGAAUUAUAAGAAGGUAAAAUAAAGAUACUAAAGGACGACCAGCAAUAAACCAACUGGCUUUGAAAAUUUUUAAUUGUACAAGUUCUAUAAAAGAGUUGAAAAUACAUACACAGUUCAUAAAAAUUGGUUUAAAUUUAACCAGUCGUUGGAUUGUCAUUGGCUGUCCUUUUCAGGAGUUAGUUCAGUUAAAUUGUUUAUAAUAUAAAGCUUUAACUACAUAUGUAUGUUCUAAAAUGAUCACAGUGUUGAAAAAUAAUCUUUUUUUGUCAAAUGAGUAGUAGUAGCAGUAGUAUCAGCGGCAGUAGUUGGAAUAUACAAUCAUAUAAAAUAAAUUGGAUAUAAAAAAAUGCUUUUGAGAUCAUAAUACCUACAACCAAACAAAAAAGUUUUGAACUUUGCUAAAUAAGAAGCUUUAAAUAACCAAAUAGCAAAA